rnacentral:rRNA from 1 species
ACUGCUCAGUAACACGUGGACAACCUACCCUGAGGAGGGGGAUAACACCGGGAAACUGGGGAUAAUACCCCAUAGACUAUGGAUGCUGGAAUGCUCUGUAGUUAAAAGGCCCGCCGCCUCAGGAUGGGUCUGCGGCCGAUUAGGUUGUUGUUGGGGUAACGGCCCAACAGGCCUGUAAUCGGUACGAGUUGUGGGAGCAAGAGCCCGGAGAUGGAUUCUGAGACACGAAUCCAGGCCCUACGGGGCGCAGCAGGCGCGAAAACUUUACAAUGCGAGCAAUCGUGAUAAGGGAACUCCGAGUGCCCGUAAAAUCGGGCUGUCCGCCAGUGUAAAUAACUGGUGAAGAAAGGGCCGGGCAAGACCGGUGCCAGCCGCCGCGGUAAUACCGGCGGCUCGAGUGGUGGCCACUAUUACUGGGCUUAAAGCGUUCGUAGCUGGUCUGUUAAGUCUCUGGGGAAAUCUUCCGGCUUAACCGGAAGGCGUCUCAGGGAUACUGACAGACUAGGGACCGGAAGAGGUGAGAGGUACUCCAGGGGUAGGAGUGAAAUCCUGUAAUCCUUGGGGGACCACCUGUGGCGAAGGCGUCUCACCAGGACGGCUCCGACAGUGAGGAACGAAAGCUGGGGGAGCAAACCGGAUUAGAUACCCGGGUAGUCCCAGCUGUAAACGAUGCGCGUUAGGUGUAUCGGUGACCACGAGUCACCGAGGUGCCGAAGAGAAAUCGUGAAACGCGCCGCCUGGGAAGUACGGUCGCAAGGCUGAAACUUAAAGGAAUUGGCGGGGGAGCAC